rnacentral:rRNA from 1 species
AGAGCGAACGCUGGCGGCAUGCUUAACACAUGCAAGUCGCACGGGCGGGGGCAACCCUGUCAGUGGCGGACGGGUGAGUAACGCGUAGGUAUCUAUCCUUGGGUGGGGGACAACUGUGGGAAACUACAGCUAAUACCGCAUGAUGACCGAGGUCCAAAGCUCGCGAGAGCGCCUGGGGAGGAGCCUGCGUACGAUUAGCUAGUUGGUGGGGUAAAGGCCUACCAAGGCGACGAUCGUUAGCUGGUCUGAGAGGAUGAUCAGCCACAUUGGGACUGAGACACGGCCCAAACUCCUACGGGAGGCAGCAGUGGGGAAUAUUGGACAAUGGGCGCAAGCCUGAUCCAGCAAUGCCGCGUGUGUGAAGAAGGUCUUCGGAUUGUAAAGCACUUUCGACGGGGACGAUGAUGGACGGUACCCGUAGAAGAACGCCCCGGCUAACUUCGCGCCAGCAGCCGC